rnacentral:rRNA from 1 species
UGGGGAAUAUUGCACAAUGGGGGAAACCCUGAUGCAGCGACGCCGCGUGAAGGAAGAAGUAUCUCGGUAUGUAAACUUCUAUCAGCAGGGAAGAAAGUGACGGUACCUGACUAAGAAGCCCUGGCUAACUACGUGCC